CGAAGGCUUCACUUAUGUCUAUGAAAACAGCAGAACAGUAUAAUUGUUUUUCGUAGGAGUCCAGAAUGUAUUGCGUGACGCGUGCCAAUUGCUGCUCAGUGCUAUGAUGUCUCCUAAACCCAAACUGGUGAGAAGGAAUGGCAUUUUCAAAUUCCCUGCAUUCAAACAUUCGUUUCAUUAGCAGCGUUUCAAAAAGCUUUGAGAAGCCAGCCAAGAGGCUAAUUGGUCGCACAUUUCCAUUGUUUGGGAAAAUGGCCGUGUCUAAGUAUCGAGUUAUAAAUGUAUGUCAAGUAAA